rnacentral:rRNA from 17 species
GGGAUACCGCCCUGACUGUAUUGAAAUUCUAACCUACGGGUCUUAUCGACCCGGGAGACAGUGUCAGGUGGGCAGUUUGACUGGGGCGGUCGCCUCCUAAAGUGUAACGGAGGCGCCCAAAGGUUCCCUCAGAAUGGUUGGAAAUCAUUCGUAGAGUGCAAAGGCAUAAGGGAGCUUGACUGCGAGACCUACAAGUCGAGCAGGGACGAAAGUCGGGCUUAGUGAUCCGGUGGUUCCGCAUGGAAGGGCCAUCGCUCAACGGAUAAAAGCUACCCCGGGGAUAACAGGCUUAUCUCCCCCAAGAGUCCACAUCGACGGGGAGGUUUGGCACCUCGAUGUCGGCUCAUCGCAUCCUGGGGCUGUAGUCGGUCCCAAGGGUUGGGCUGUUCGCCCAUUAAAGCGGUACGCGAGCUGGGUUCAGAACGUCGUGAGACAGUUCGGUCCCUAUCCGUCGUGGGCGUAGGAAAUUUGAGAGGAGCUGUCCUUAGUACGAGAGGACCGGGAUGGACGCACCGCUGGUGUACCAGUUGUUCUGCCAAGGGCAUAGCUGGGUAGCUAUGUGCGGAAGGGAUAAGUGCUGAAAGCAUCUAAGCAUGAAGCCCCCCUCAAGAUGAGAUUUCCCAUAGCGUAAGCUAGUAAGAUCCCUGAAAGAUGAUCAGGUUGAUAGGUUCGAGGUGGAAGCAUGGUGACAUGUGGAGCUGACGAAUACUAAUAGAUCGAGGACUUAACCAUAUAA